CCAGUAUAUUAAAGAUUGUUAUAAAAAUAUAUGAAAAGAACUGGAACCAGAUUCAGAAUCAUGAAAACAACAUUUUUACAAAAAAAUAAACUAUAUUAAACAGGGUUUAAAGGAAAUUAGAACUAUAAGAAGUACAAUUUGUUAUAGUAUAGUAUCAAAUUUCUAUACAGAUUUUAUACCUCGGUGGGGAAAAACAACUGAUUCCAGUGACCGGAAGAGCGUUGUGUAGGGAGAGAGUG